UGUAAGCGUAUACCAAAGUUGUUGCAGUUAAAACGCUCGUAGUCGGAAUUUGGCAGUUCCGGAAGUGUGCACGUCGUGUGCGCACUUUGCGGGGACUGCUUUUGUGGUCUUGCGUAGGAUGAGGCACUUUCAUUAGUGAACGUCCUCACGCAACCACUCUUUACUGUGAGAAAAUCAGAGUGCUCAAAGCAGGCAUUUGCCGGGAAUGUAUUAGCAUGGAAUAAUAGAAUAGGACUCGGUUCUAUUUUGUUGGUUUGUUGGGACUGAGUAAUGAUUAAGAGGGACAGUUGGGGGCAUUUGUAUUCCGGCGCUAGAGGUGAAAUUCUUAGAUUGCCGGAAGACAAACUGCUGCGAAAGCGUCUGCCAAGGAUGUUUUCAUUGA
rnacentral:rRNA from 1 species